UCUUUUUCAGGAGGGGGAGUGAGAGAGCGGCCGUGGUGGAACUCGGCUGCCCACCCGAUUCAGACCACCGCAGUUGCAAAGGACUGGAAAAGUUUUCCGAAGAAACAAGAUGUUUAACAAGGAGAUGCAUAGUUUCCUUAUUACGGCUUCCUGGAUAAUUGGGGUUCUUUCCUAUUGCCAGCUCGGAGGAAGAGAAUUGUUGAUUUCCCCUUCUUUUUUCUUACAUGGAAAUCAAAGAUUUGAUUAUCGACUUAGAAAGCAAAUAUCUGGCCAGACUUCAAGACUUAUGCUCGCAGCGUGGGACAGCUCUCGUAAGGGUGAUUCAGGGUAGCUUCUGGAGAACAAGACGUCAGAUCUCCAAACCAGCUUUCUUUGUGCUAAUGUAGGAAGGGCGAGUAAGAGUAAAGACACUUCUCUGUCCAUCGGCCUGUCCUGCCGACUCUGGUGUGAGUGUGAAGCUGUGGCAAGAGGGGUUUCCCAUUCCUAUUUGACCUGGUGGACACCAGCUUUCCUAGGAAAUUGCUGAUGUUGCUGAGGAGGCGGCAGUAUCAAAGGCCUUGUUGAUGAAGGUACAACAAGCUGGGGAGGCUUUGGCAUUUCUGCACAGUGCUGCUCCCUGACUGUCACUCCAGACUCAGAUUCUGAAAGAAGCAAAGCAAGCUAGAGGAAAACUGGAUGUCCAGUAUCCAAAACUCCGUGUUACAGCGGA